rnacentral:rRNA from 1 species
AUUGAAGAGUUUGAUCAUGGCUCAGAUUGAACGCUGGCGGCAGGCCUAACACAUGCAAGUCGAACGGUAACAGGAAGCAGCUUGCUGCUUUGCUGACGAGUGGCGGACGGGUGAGUAAUGUCUGGGAAACUGCCUGAUGGAGGGGGAUAACUACUGGAAACGGUGGCUAAUACCGCAUAACGUCGCAAGACCAAAGAGGGGGACCUUCGGGCCUCUUGCCAUCAGAUGUGCCCAGAUGGGAUUAGCUAGUUGGUGAGGUAACGGCUCACCAAGGCGACGAUCCCUAGCUGGUCUGAGAGGAUGACCAGCCACACUGGAACUGAGACACGGUCCAGACUCCUACGGGAGGCAGCAGUGGGGAAUAUUGCACAAUGGGCGCAAGCCUGAUGCAGCCAUGCCGCGUGUAUGAAGAAGGCCUUCGGGUUGUAAAGUACUUUCAGCGGGGAGGAAGGUGUUGUGGUUAAUAACCGCAGCAAUUGACGUUACCCGCAGAAGAAGCACCGGCUAACUCCGUGCCAGCAGCCGCGGUAAUACGGAGGGUGCAAGCGUUAAUCGGAAUUACUGGGCGUAAAGCGCACGCAGGCGGUCUGUCAAGUCGGAUGUGAAAUCCCCGGGCUCAACCUGGGAACUGCAUUCGAAACUGGCAGGCUUGAGUCUUGUAGAGGGGGGUAGAAUUCCAGGUGUAGCGGUGAAAUGCGUAGAGAUCUGGAGGAAUACCGGUGGCGAAGGCGGCCCCCUGGACAAAGACUGACGCUCAGGUGCGAAAGCGUGGGGAGCAAACAGGAUUAGAUACCCUGGUAGUCCACGCCGUAAACGAUGUCUACUUGGAGGUUGUGCCCUUGAGGCGUGGCUUCCGGAGCUAACGCGUUAAGUAGACCGCCUGGGGAGUACGGCCGCAAGGUUAAAACUCAAAUGAAUUGACGGGGGCCCGCACAAGCGGUGGAGCAUGUGGUUUAAUUCGAUGCAACGCGAAGAACCUUACCUGGUCUUGACAUCCACGGAAGAAUUCAGAGAUGGAUUUGUGCCUUCGGGAACCGUGAGACAGGUGCUGCAUGGCUGUCGUCAGCUCGUGUUGUGAAAUGUUGGGUUAAGUCCCGCAACGAGCGCAACCCUUAUCCUUUGUUGCCAGCGGUCCGGCCGGGAACUCAAAGGAGACUGCCAGUGAUAAACUGGAGGAAGGUGGGGAUGACGUCAAGUCAUCAUGGCCCUUACGACCAGGGCUACACACGUGCUACAAUGGCGCAUACAAAGAGAAGCGACCUCGCGAGAGCAAGCGGACCUCAUAAAGUGCGUCGUAGUCCGGAUUGGAGUCUGCAACUCGACUCCAUGAAGUCGGAAUCGCUAGUAAUCGUGGAUCAGAAUGCCACGGUGAAUACGUUCCCGGGCCUUGUACACACCGCCCGUCACACCAUGGGAGUGGGUUGCAAAAGAAGUAGGUAGCUUAACCUUCGGGAGGGCGCUUACCACUUUGUGAUUCAUGACUGGGGUGAAGUCGUAACAAGGUAACCGUAGGGGAACCUGCGGUUGGAUCACCUCCUU